rnacentral:rRNA from 1 species
AACGAACGCUGGCGGCAUGCCUAACACAUGCAAGUCGAACGAGACCUUCGGGUCUAGUGGCGCACGGGUGCGUAACACGUGGGAAUCUGCCCUUUGCUUCGGAAUAACAGUUAGAAAUGACUGCUAAUACCGGAUGAUGUCGAAAGACCAAAGAUUUAUCGGCAAAGGAUGAGCCCGCGUAGGAUUAGGUAGUUGGUGGGGUAAAGGCCUACCAAGCCGACGAUCCUUAGCUGGUCUGAGAGGAUGAUCAGCCACGCUGGGACUGAGACACGGCCCAGACUCCUACGGGAAGCAGCAGUGGGGAAUAUUGGACAAUGGGCGAAAGCCUGAUCCAGCAAUGCCGCGUGAGUGAUGAAGGCCUUAGGGUUGUAAAGCUCUUUUACCAGGGAUGAUAAUGACAGUACCUGGAGAAUAAGCUCCGGCUAACUCCGUG